UACAGAGGUCUCAAGCGUUGUUCGGAUUCAUUGGGCGUAAAGGGUGCGUAGGCGGCGCGGUAAGUCGGGUGUGAAAUCUCGGGGCUUAACUCCGAAACUGCAUUCCAUACUGCGGUGCUUGAGGACUGGAGAGGAGACUGGAAUUUACGGUGUAGCAGUGAAAUGCGUAGAGAUCGUAAGGAAGACCAGUGGCGAAGGCGGGUCCCUGGACAGUUCCUGACACUGAGGCACGAAGGCCAGGGGAGCAAACGGG
rnacentral:rRNA from 1 species